rnacentral:rRNA from 1 species
CCUUUGUACACACCGCCCGUCGCUACUACCGAUUGAAUGGCUCAGUGAGGCCUUCGGACUGGCUCAGGGAGGUUGGCAACGACCACCCCGAGCCGGAAAGUUCGUCAAACUCGGUCAUUUAGAGG